GCAAACUUGGUCAUUUAGAGGAAGUAAAAGUCGUAACAAGGUUUCCGUAGGUGAACCUGCGGAAGGAUCAUUACUGAAUGAGUUUUUGAAAGGGGUCGUAGCUGGUCUUUUUACUAAGGCAUGUGUAACACCCUGCUCAUUUACUCUAUAAAUCCUAUGUGCAGAACCGCUAGAGAGUGUGUCUAUAUGUGCGGAAAACAUAUCAUGUUAUAUUGAUUCAUAGUUGUUAAGACUUGGAUUGAUAUAUCUUCUACACGCUCCUCUAUGCCUUUUUUUUUAAACACGCUCUAAGUAAUAGAAUGUCAUAUAUGCAUUUUUUAAUGCAAGUUAUAUAAUAUAUAACUUUCAGCAACGGAUCUCUUGGCUCUCGCAUCGAUGAAGAACGCAGC
rnacentral:misc_RNA from 1 species